AUUGAACGCUGGCGGAAUGCUUUACACAUGCAAGUCGAGCGGCAGCGCGGGGCAACCUGGCGGCGAGCGGCGAACGGGUGAGUAAUGCAUCGGAACAUGUCCAUGUCGUGGGGGAUAGCCCGGCGAAAGCCGGAUUAAUACCGCAUACGCCCGAGAGGGGAAAGCCGGGGACCGCAAGGCCUGGCGCGAUUGGGUUGGCCGAUGUCCGAUUAGCUAGUUGGUGGGGUAAAGGCCCACCAAGGCGAUGAUCGGUAGCUGGUCUGAGAGGAUGAUCAGCCACACUGGGACUGAGACACGGCCCAGACUCCUACGGGAGGCAGCAGUGGGGAAUUUUGGACAAUGGGGGAAACCCUGAUCCAGCCAUUCCGCGUGAGUGAAGAAGGCC
rnacentral:rRNA from 1 species